rnacentral:rRNA from 1 species
AUGCAUGGUCAGGUCGGCAUCGACCUGGACGGCUUCCCCCUCGACCACGAGUUUUCGGACGACUAUGGGCUAGAGGAAGAGGACGAGUGCGACAUCGAAGUGGAGCCUUUCGAGGACGAUCUCGCCAACCAAGCCGCCGGUCCUAAGCCGAAGCGCAAGAGCAAGCACACGAAGGCGUACAUAGCUGCCGAGGACAAGCUUCUUUGUGAGUGUUGGUGAGACAUUGGACAAGACCCAAAGACGGGCACCGAGCAAAAGCAUUCAACCUUUUGGACUCGUGUGCACCGAGAGUUUCAUGAGCGCAAGAAGUUUCCACCUUACCAAUUUGUGAGCACGCGCGGGUGGAUCUCCUUUUCCAAGCGGUGGACGGUGAUCCAAUAA